GUGUCAGCAGCCGCGGUAAUACGGAGGGUGCAAGCGUUAUUCGGAAUUAUUGGGCGUAAAGGGCGUGUAGGCGGCCAGACAAGUCAGAUGUGAAAGCCCGGGGCUCAACCCCGGAAGUGCAUUUGAAACUGUUUGGCUUGAGUGCGGGAGAGGAAAGCGGAAUUCCCAGUGUAGAGGUGAAAUUCGUAGAUAUUGGGAGGAACACCGGUGGCGAAGGCGGCUUUCUGGACCGACACUGACGCUGAGGCGCGAAAGCGUGGGGAGCAAACAGGAUUAGAUACCCCCGUAGUCC
rnacentral:rRNA from 1 species